GUGUGUUUGGUGCAGACACUGUGGAGCAACAUCUGCAGGUCUAAGAUGUGAAUGGCAGAACAAUUACACACAGUGCGCUCCUUGUGCAAGCUUAUCUUCCUGUCCAGUCUGCUAUCGAAACUAUAGAGAAGAAGAUCUUAUUCUGCAAUGUAGACAAUGUGAUAGAUGGAUGCAUGCAGUUUGUCAGAACUUAAAUACUGAGGAAGAAGUGGAAAAUGUAGCAGACAUUGGUUUUGAUUGUAGCAUGUGCAGACCCUAUAUGCCUGCGUCUAAUGUGCCUUCCUCAGACUGCUGUGAAUCUUCACUUGUAGCACAAAUUGUCACAAAAGUAAAAGAGCUAGACCCACCCAAGACUUAUACCCAGGAUGGUGUGUGUUUGACUGAAUCAGGGAUGACUCAGUUACAGAGCCUCACAGUUACAGUUCCAAGAAGAAAACGGUCAAAACCAAAAUUGAAAUUGAAGAUUAUAAAUCAGAAUAGCGUGGCCGUCCUUCAGACCCCUCCAGACAUCCAAUCAGAGCAUUCAAGGGAUGGUGAAAUGGAUGAUAGUCGAGAAGGAGAACUUAUGGAUUGUGAUGGAAAAUCAGAAUCUAGUCCUGAGCGGGAAGCUGUGGAUGAUGAAACUAAGGGAGUGGAAGGAACAGAUGGUG
rnacentral:lncRNA from 1 species